GUUCUCAAACCCUAAGGAGCUCCAAAGCUAAGCUGGUUUUGAUAUCGAACAACUGCCCGCCUUUGAGGAAGUCGGAAAUUGAGUACUACGCCAUGCUUUCUAAAGUUGGUGUCCACCAUUACAAUGGAAACAAUGUUGAUUUGGGAACUGCCUGUGGAAAUUAUUUCAGAGUGUCGUGCCUCAGCAUCAUUGAUCCAGGUUCGAUAUGCCUCUGUUUUUUUUUCUCGUUAGCCGCGU